AGUGAACGCUGGCGGUAGGCCUAACACAUGCAAGUCGAACGGCAGCACAGGAGAGCUUGCUCUCUGGGUGGCGAGUGGCGGACGGGUGAGGAAUACAUCGGAAUCUACUUUUUCGUGGGGGAUAACGUAGGGAAACUUACGCUAAUACCGCAUACGACCUACGGGUGAAAGCAGGGGACCUUCGGGCCUUGCGCGAUUGAAUGAGCCGACGUCGGAUUAGCUAGUUGGCGGGGUAAAGGCCCACCAAGGCGACGAUCCGUAGCUGGUCUGAUAGGAUGAUCAGCCCCAGUGGAACUGAGACACGGUCCAGACUCCUACGGGAGGCAGCAGUGGGGAAUAUUGGACAAUGGGCGCAAGCCUGAGCCAGCCAUACCGCGUGGGUGAAGAAGGCCUUCGGGUUGUAAAGCCCUUUUGUUGGGAAAGAAAUCCAGCUGGCUAAUACCCGGUUGGGAUGACGGUACCCAAAGAAUAAGCACCGGCUAACUUCGUGCCAGCCGCCGCCGUAA
rnacentral:rRNA from 1 species